rnacentral:rRNA from 1 species
GACGAACGCUGGCGGCGUGCUUAACACAUGCAAGUCGAACGGAAAGGCCCUGCUUUUGUGGGGUGCUCGAGUGGCGAACGGGUGAGUAACACGUGAGUAACCUGCCCUUGACUUUGGGAUAACUUCAGGAAACUGGGGCUAAUACCGGAUAGGAGCUCCUGCUGCAUGGUGGGGGUUGGAAAGUUUCGGCGGUUGGGGAUGGACUCGCGGCUUAUCAGCUUGUUGGUGGGGUAGUGGCUUACCAAGGCUUUGACGGGUAGCCGGCCUGAGAGGGUGACCGGCCACGUUGGGACUGAGAUACGGCCCAGUCUCCUACGGGAGGCAGCUGUGGGGGAUAUUGCACAAUGGGCGGAUGCCUGAUGCAGCAGCGCCGCGUGCGGGAUGACGGCCUUCGGGUUGUAAACCGCUUUCGCCUGUGACGAAGCGUGAGUGACGGUAAUGGGUAGAGAAGCACCGGCUAACUACGUG